CUGCCAAACUCCAGCCACUUAUCCACCUCUGCUCUGGAGCUGCACUGCUCUCCUGGUUCCACAGAUUAAUCUUCCUGGCUUCACUAAACUCGUCUCCUCUGGUCAAUCCACAAGCUGCCACUUUGAACCUUUCCCCCUGGCUCUCUUGGUUUCCUCUGUUAUAAAGACACUCGACCUGACCUGCAAUCUCUGUCGACAAACCAGACAAAGCCUAAGUGUGGGUCUCUCAAGAUUAAUGAUCCCUGUCUAAAGAGCAUGUAAGGGGAGCUGUGUCCAUGUACAAGGGGCAGCUAGAGGAGCUUCCUGAUCCAGGCGGGAAUCUAUCCAGGCCACAUUGCUUUCAGUGAUUUCCUCUGGGAGACGAUGGGGAAAAGGUGUGACACUCGAAGAACACAA